UGAGUACGAGCUGCUACGGCAGCGAAGUGGGUGAUGUCAAGCUUCCAAGAAAAGCCCUAUACCCGUUAAGGCAUGAUGGCCUGUACCCGAAACCGACACAGGUGGGGUGGUAGAGAAUACCGAGGGGCGCGAGAUAACUCUCUCUAAGGAACUCGGCAAAAUGGCCCCGUAACUUCGGGAGAAGGGGUGCCACCGCAAGGUGGUCGCAGUGAAGAGGCCCAGGCGACUGUUUACCAAAAACACAGGUCUCCGCUAAGUCGCAAGACGAUGUAUGGGGGCUGACGCCUGCCCAGUGCCGGAAGGUUAAGGAAGCUGGUCAGCGUAAGCGAAGCUAGCGACUGAAGCCCCGGUGAACGGCGGCCGUAACCAUAACGGUCCUAAGGUAGCGAAAUUCCUUGUCGGGUAAGUUCCGACCCGCACGAAAGGCGUAACGAUCUGGGCGCUGUCUCGGAGAGAGGCUCGGCGAAAUAGAAUUGUCUGUGAAGAUGCGGACUACGUGCACCCGGACAGAAAGACCCUAUGAAGCUUUACUGUAGCUUGGUAUUGUGCUCGGGCUCGGAAUGCGCAGGAUAGGUGGGAGGCAUGAACCAUUGCUUGUGGGUGAUGGUGAGCCACUGGUGAGAUACCACUCUUUCCGAGCUAGAGUUCUAACAGCCACCCGUUAUCCGGGGGCUGGACAGUAUCAGGUGGGCAGUUUGACUGGGGCGGUCGCCUCCUAAAAGGUAACGGAGGCGCGCAAAGGUUUGCUCAGGCUGGUUGGAAAUCAGCCGACGAGUGUAAAAGCAGAAGCAAGCUUGACUGUGAGACCUACAAGUCGAACAGGGAGGAAACUCGGCUUUAGUGAUCCGACGGUUCUGCGUGGAAGGGCCGUCGCUCAACGGAUAAAAGUUACUCUAGGAUAACAGGCUGAUCUCCCCCAAGAGUUCACAUCGACGGGGAGGUUUGGCACCUCGAUGUCGGCUCAUCGCAACCUGGGGCUGAAGUCGGUCCCAAGGGUUGGGCUGUUCGCCCAUUAAAGCGGUACGCGAGCUGGGUUCAGAACGUCGUGAGACAGUUCGGUCCAUAUCCGGUGCAUGCGCAGGAAUAUUGAGAGGAUUUCUCCCUAGUACGAGAGGACCGGGAGGAACGCACCUCUGGUGUACCAGUUAUCGUGCCAACGGUAAACGCUGGGUAGCCAUGUGCGGAGAGGAUAACCGCUGAAAGCAUCUAAGUGGGAAGCCCACCUCAAGAUGAGUAUUCCCAUGGGGUAACCCAGUAAGGUCACGGGAAGAACACCCGUUGAUAGGCUCUACGUGGAAGCGCAGUAAUGUGUGAAGCGGAGGAGUACUAAUAGACCGAGGGCUUGAA
rnacentral:rRNA from 1 species